GACAGUGGCCCGCAGGCGUACAAAUCAUACGCGGCAAAUCACGGGGACGUGUGAGAGCACAUGUUCAGAAACAUGACUUAUCAGUGACUGAGUGGAAUAUUAACUAGAUCCAAUGUAUUAUUUACAUAUGAAAUUUGUAACGACAUUCGUUUCUAAAAGGCUGACCGAUGAAUUAUUUUACCAUAAGGUCAAAAUUUCAUUUACAAAUUGAUAUACAUUGGUGGUUUUACUUAAAGCUUUUAAUCACGCGUUCAUGCUUUAAUUUAACCAAUAUAUCCUCUAAUAAUAUUUAAAUAAUA